rnacentral:rRNA from 1 species
UACGAAGGGGACUAGCGUUGUUCGGAUUUACUGGGCGUAAAGCGCGCGUAGGCGGAUCGCUAAGUCAGGGGUGAAAUGCCAAGGCUCAACCUUGGAACUGCCUUUGAUACUGACGAUCUGGAGAUUGGGAGAGGUGAGUGGAAUUCCGAGUGUAGAGGUGAAAUUCGUAGAUAUCCGGAAGAACACCAGUGGAGAAGGCGACUCACUGGACACAUAUUGACGCUGAGGUGCGAAAGCGUGGGGAGCAAACAGG